CUCCUGGAAACGGGUGGUAAUGCCGGAUGUUCCAGUUGAUCGCAUGGUCUUCUGGGAAAGCUUUCGCGGUAUGGGAUGGGGUCGCGUCCUAUCAGCUUGACGGCGGGGUAACGGCCCACCGUGGCUUCGACGGGUAGCCGGCCUGAGAGGGCGACCGGCCACAUUGGGACUGAGAUACGGCCCAGACUCCUACGGGAGGCAGCAGUGGGGAAUAUUGCACAAUGGGCGCAAGCCUGAUGCAGCGACGCCGCGUGAGGGAUGGAGGCCUUCGGGUUGUAAACCUCUUUUAUCGGGGAGCAAGCGUGAGUGAGUUUACCCGUUGAAUAAGCACCGGCUAACUACGUGCCAGCAGCCGCGGUAAUACGUAGGGUGCAAGCGUUAUCCGGAAUUAUUGGGCGUAAAGGGCUCGUAGGCGGUUCGUCGCGUCCGGUGUGAAAGUCCAUCGCUUAACGGUGGAUCCGCGCCGGGUACGGGCGGGCUUGAGUGCGGUAGGGGAGACUGGAAUUCCUCGGUGCAACGGUGGGAAUUUGUUGAUAUCUUCGAAGAACAUACCAU
rnacentral:rRNA from 1 species